GCCUCAGCCACACCGCGACGAUGAUCGGUCCCGUGGAGGAGACCAAAAGAAUGGAUGAUUCCUCUCUCUUCAUGGUUGGGAAUACAUCUCCCCUUUCCCAUUUCUUGGCCCAAGGGCAGCAGCCGCCACCUGCCCAAUCCUCGGCCACCACCCUCCCGACCCUCGGCCACCACUGGCUGAACCAUCGCCGGCCGCCUCUGCUGCAGUCGCCGGCGAUGGUAGUCGGCCAAAAGAAAGAGAGAAGAGGAGGUCCCUCUUCUUCAUUUUUUUUUUCCUUCCCAACACCCGAAAGAGCCCCCCUCUUCUUCUUCUUUCCAACCGAAGAUCCACCCUUUUCUUCUCCCAUCGUCAGCCGAAGGCCUUCCUCAUGGUGGCUCGGCCUCCCCCCCCCCCCCCCCCCCCCCCACCCGACGGCAACCCAAGCAGCCCCCUCCGACCACCGUCGCCGCCGGCGGUGGUCAACCGACGCGAGGAAGAGGAGGAAGGGGUGGGAUCACGAGGAAGAAGGCCUCGUAUCCGCCAUCCCCCACCUCCAACAGAGCUCUAAAAUCCCUCACAAAUCUCCACACAAACCCAAUCCACCCCAUCUGCCAUGAAUCCCGGCCAACCGACGGCCGGCGGCGACGAAAUCCGAAGGAGAAAAGCCGAAACAGGGGUACCCUAUUUCGGAUCCUUCUCCGACGGUCUCGUCGGCCAAAACCAACUCAACACGGCCCAAACCCUAGCAAAGGCAGCACAAGAGGAGUCACGCUUACCUCGGUCCGGCGGGAUGCUCCGGCGAGCUUUCUGGCGAGAGAUGGAUGGAAGAAUCUGUGAACAAAUCACCGAUCUAUGGAAGGUCUUCUCCGAAGGAAAGGCUUUAGAGUUUUCCCCCACGGCCGGCCGGAUCUCGGCGCUCCGUCUCGACUCCGAUGUUUGGUCCCCUCCGACGAUCACCCGAGCGCCGUCGCCGCCCCCCUUUGCACCCUCCUUUCAUCCACGAUCGUGCCUAGGGCACGAUCGUAAAAAGAGGGAUGGGCCCGGUCUUUUCGGGCUGGCCCGUCUCUCUUUCUUCUUUUUUUUUUUUUUCAUGGGUAUUACAAUCGCACUGUCAACAAUCCAUUAGAUCAAGUACUCCAGCUAAAUUAUAUGUUACCCACUUCUUUUUUUUGUUUAAAGCAGUCUGUUCUGAAGAGUAAUAUGAAGACUCAAAGUUAUUAAUGACAGCAGCCAGAUUUUCCUGGAGCACCCACUGUUAGAGUUGUGCCUGAACCAGCUGGAGAUGGUAGAGCAAUUGAUAUGAAUCCAGAGUUGGAUGAACAAGGAGUGAGUAACGAAGAGAGGCAUAGAGAGACAGAAGCAGAAGAGAUGAAGCGUGCCUUAAAAUUUUCUUAUUUUUCAACUGGCAUUGCUGGUGCAGGAAUAGUAGGCAUUUACUCUGGAUACCUCGGAGAUCAAACAGGACAUGCCCAUAAAAUCCAUCUCAAGUUGUGCACCUUCUUCAUGCUGGCCACCUUCGGUUGUGGAGCCGGCAUGUUUCUUCUGGCACACCUCAAUCUUAGCAACUGCAUCUCUAUUGCAAUCUUCAGAGGCCUCAAGGUUGCAGCAUUGGUGUUUCUAACCCUUGCAAUGUUUAUUAUUUCCUUUCUUUUCCUAAAGAUUUUUUCCAUUCUUGCCUUUGUUCCGGCAUUGGUUAUAGUGAUGAUUGCAUUCUUUAUGGCUUUAUGCCAUAAUGGGCUUCCAUGUUGUCAUCACCAAGGUAAUAGUGGCAGGUCAUUCGAUCAUUCAUCCUAAGCAGUCUGAAACAUUUGGAUGCUGUAGAAUUGCAUUGUUCUCAAUCCUAGCCUCCUGCAACUAUGUAAAUUAGUAUGUAAAUUGAUCAGCUAUGCAAAAAGAUUCAUGAAACUUAGAUUAAGAUUAUUUUUAUACUGAAAUCAUUGUUGUAUUGUCUUUUGUCAUCGGAGUACAGAGAAAAAUAGAGAAUCAAUAAUAGUGGAAUGUUUUCUUUUGGGCAAA